GAUGAACGCUGGCGGCGUGCCUAAUACAUGCAAGUCGAGCGAACAGAUGAGGAGCUUGCUCCUCUGACGUUAGCGGCGGACGGGUGAGUAACACGUGGAUAACCUACCUAUAAGACUGGGAUAACUUCGGGAAACCGGAGCUAAUACCGGAUAAUAUAUUGAACCGCAUGGUUCAAUAGUGAAAGACGGUUUUGCUGUCACUUAUAGAUGGAUCCGCGCCGCAUUAGCUAGUUGGUAAGGUAACGGCUUACCAAGGCGACGAUGCGUAGCCGACCUGAGAGGGUGAUCGGCCACACUGGAACUGAGACACGGUCCAGACUCCUACGGGAGGCAGCAGUAGGGAAUCUUCCGCAAUGGGCGAAAGCCUGACGGAGCAACGCCGCGUGAGUGAUGAAGGUCUUCGGAUCGUAAAACUCUGUUAUUAGGGAAGAACAAAUGUGUAAGUAGCUAUGCACGUCUUGACGGUACCUAAUCAGAAAGCCACGGCUAACUACGU
rnacentral:rRNA from 1 species